CAAAGAUAAAAAGGCGAAAAGAAUGCUUCUAACUAUCGUCUUUCAAGCCUAAUUCCUACCGCCUUAGGAUCCGAGUUCAACUACACAAUGGUUGAUUAUAAGCAACAAAAGGGUGGAUGGGAAUGCGGCUACAUGGUUCUCCAACAUAUGUUUGACUUUGUCAAUUUGUAUCAAAACCAGUUUCCCGAUGAAAUGUGGCACGACACGAGAGAGGCAACGGAUAAUGAAAUAGAUGUUUUGUUGAUGACGUUGAUGCCGAAGUUUUUUAGGGAGUUAGGUAUUUCGUUAGAUUAGCGUAUGUAGUU